UACGAAGGGGGCUAGCGUUGUUCGGAUUUACUGGGCGUAAAGCGCACGUAGGCGGAUCGUUAAGUCGGGGGUGAAAUCCUGGAGCUCAACUCCAGAACUGCCUUCGAUACUGGCGAUCUUGAGUCCGGAAGAGGUGAGUGGAACUCCUAGUGUAGAGGUGGAAUUCGUAGAUAUUCGCAAGAACACCAGUGGCGAAGGCGGCUCACUGGCCCGGUACUGACGCUGAGAUGCGAAAGCGUGGGGAGCAAACAGG
rnacentral:rRNA from 1 species